rnacentral:rRNA from 1 species
AUUGAACGCUGGCGGCAGGCCUAACACAUGCAAGUCGAGCGAGCGGCGGACGGGUGAGUAAUGUAUGGGGACUGCCCGAUAGAGGGGGAUAACUACUGGAAACGGUGGAUAAUACCGCAUACUAUCGGAUAACCCAUAUGGGAUUAGCUAGUAGGUGGGGUAAAGGCUCACCUAGGCGACGAUCUCUAGCUGGUCUGAGAGGAUGAUCAGCCAAACUGUGAGUGAGACACGGCCCAAAUUCCUACGGAGGCAGCAGUGGGAAAUUUUGCACAAUGUGCGUAAGCCUGAUGAAGCCAUGCCGCUUGUAUGAAGAAGGCCUUAGGGUUGUAAAGUACUUUCAGCGGGGAGGCGUUACCCGCAGAAGAAGCACCGGCUAACUCCGUGCCAGCCGCCGCGGUAAUAC